rnacentral:rRNA from 1 species
UUAAAUUGAAGAGUUUGAUCAUGGCUCAGAUUGAACGCUGGCGGCAGGCCUAACACAUGCAAGUCGAACGGUAACAGGAAACAGCUUGCUGUUUCGCUGACGAGUGGCGGACGGGGGAGUAAUGUCUGGGAAACUGCCUGAUGGAGGGGGAUAACUACUGGAAACGGUAGCUAAUACCGCAUAACGUCGCAAGACCAAAGAGGGGGACCUUCGGGCCUCUUGCCAUCGGAUGUGCCCAGAUGGGAUUAGCUAGUAGGUGGGGUAACGGCUCACCUAGGCGACGAUCCCUAGCUGGUCUGAGAGGAUGACCAGCCACACUGGAACUGAGACACGGUCCAGACUCCUACGGGAGGCAGCAGUGGGGAAUAUUGCACAAUGGGCGCAAGCCUGAUGCAGCCAUGCCGCGUGUAUGAAGAAGGCCUUCGGGUUGUAAAGUACUUUCAGCGGGGAGGAAGGGAGUAAAGUUAAUACCUUUGCUCA